rnacentral:rRNA from 1 species
ACUCAAAUGAAUAGACGGGGGCCCGCACAAGCGGUGGAACAUGUGGUUUAAUUCGAUGCUACGCGAAAAACCUCACCUAGGCUUGACAUAUAUGUAGUAGCGAACCGAAAGGGGAGCGAACCGUCAAGUCGGUUGCAUAAACAGGUGCUGCAUGGCUGUCGUCAGCUCGUGUCGUGAGAUGUUGGGUUAAGUCCCGCAACGAGCGCAACCAUUGCCCUAUGUUGCCACUUCGUUAGCUAGCUUGCUAGUUAACGGAAGCACUCUUAGGGGACUGCCUGGGACAACCAGGAGGAAGGUGGAGAUGACGUCAAGUCAGUACGGCCUUUAUGCCUAGGGCGACACACGUGUUACAAUGGGCGGUACAAAGGGUUGCCAACCCGCGAGGGGGAGCUAAUCUCAAAAAACCGUCCUCAGUUCGGAUUGGAGUCUGCAAUUCGACUCCAUGAAGCCGGAAUCGCUAGUAAUGGUGGAUCAGCACGCCACCGUGAAUACGUUCCCGGGCCUUGUACACACCGCCCGU